UUGAUCCUGCUGCAGAGCUGCAUGUGAUCUCUAGUGUGAAUUCCUCUGAGAGCCCCCCGGUGAGUGAGCCACCCAAGGGAGGAUACUGGCACGGAUACAAGUGUGGGGCCCCAUACUGAAGACAGGUCUUAACCAUUUAUCUGCUACGAGGGAGCUGCUGCCAACUUCAAAAGGAGAGGCAACACUAAACACAAGGCACAGAAACAAUGGAACCCGCGGGGAGUUGAAGAGACCCAACAUUUGUGGCCAAUGGAAGACAACAGCCAAUGAUAAUGAAUCUCCUGCUUGUCAUAUAGAGGCCAGUUAUUCAGAGAAGUGACCCCGUACGACUGCACCUCUCUCCCUCUGACACGAGUCACGUUCACCCUCCCAGCAGCACCAAACACACGACUCGCUCACACAAUCACGUCUCCCUUUUGUUUCAUUUUGGAAAAAUAAUUGAGGAUCUGGUGAAACGAUCCCAAUCAGAGCUUUGUGUGUCACGUAGAGAAGAGACUCGCACAACAUUCUGUCUCCAGGAGCUGGAUUUCUGCCAUACUGUACACAACUGGGGGUCUUCUGUCCAAACCUCUCUCUUAUAUGCACUAUAUAUAUAUAUUCCUGGGAAUAAACUGCUACUUACUGUGCAAGAA